UUCGCCCUUAGAGUUUGAUCCUGGCUCAGAACGAACGCUGGCGGCAGGCUUAACACAUGCAAGUCGAACGCCCCUUUCGGGGGGAGUGGCAGACGGGUGAGUAACACGUGGGAACGUACCUCUUUGUUCGGAAUAACUCAUGGAAACGUGAGCUAAUACCGGAUACGCCCUUUUGGGGAAAGAUUUAUCGCAGAGAGAUCGGCCCGCGUCUGAUUAGCUAGUUGGUGAGGUAAUGGCUCACCAAGGCGACGAUCAGUAGCUGGUCUGAGAGGAUGAUCAGCCACACUGGGACUGAGACACGGCCCAGACUCCUACGGGAGGCAGCAGUGGGGAAUAUUGGACAAUGGGGGCAACCCUGAUCCAGCCAUGCCGCGUGAGUGAUGAAGGCCUUAGGGUUGUAAAGCUCUUUUAUCCGGGAAGAUAAUGACUGUACCGGAAGAAUAAGCCCCGGCUAACUUCGUGCCAGCAGCCGCGGUAAUACGAAGGGGGCUAGCGUUGUUCGGAAUCACUGGGCGUAAAGGGCGCGUAGGCGGACGAUUAAGUCAGGGGUGAAAUCCCGGGGCUCAACCUCGGAAUUGCCCUUGAUACUGGUUGUCUUGAGAUUGGAAGAGGUAAGUGGAAUUGCGAGUGUAGAGGUGAAAUUCGUAGAUAUUCGCAAGAACACCGGUGGCGAAGGCGACUUACUGGUCCAUAUCUGACGCUGAGGCGCGAAAGCGUGGGGAGCAAACAGGAUUAGAUACCCUGGUAGUCCACGCCGUAAACCAUGGGAUGCCAGCUGUUGGGGAGCAUGCUCCUUCGUGGCGCAGUCAACACAUUAA
rnacentral:rRNA from 1 species